AAUCAUUUUUCAGGGAACCAAAUUAAGUAGCAUCUCAAAGUGUUAAAGAGCAAACAAUGAGCUUUUGGGCUGAAUAACAUUUCAACUUUAAGAUCAGUAUUAUGCUUGGUUUGUUAUGUGAAGGAUUUUGUCUUGUGCUGUGUGAAACUUUGAAAAACAAAUUUGACAGUCCUUCAGGCUUCUCAAAUGCAAAAUAGUAGAGGUAAACUGGCAUAGUUAAGCUGGUUAAAAAAAAGACUAGUUUUUAAAAUAUCAAUUCACUUUCUACUCAUCUACUUCUACUGUUGUCUCUACAUAGACAUGGCUGAAUAGUAUAAAUUUUGUUAAGACAAAGUCUAUUGUGUUUCAUCAGUGAAUUUCUCACAUUUCACACGUACAUUUGUCUGUGGUUUAGGUCCUGUUGCCUAGACUUAGGGUUAGUUGAAGAGCUCAGUAGCAUUUGCAUAUUUUGGGAGGAACAGAGAAAUGUUUCAAGAGACACCAGUUUUAACCUUAUAAGAUGCUGAUAUGGAGGCAAAGUAAUAUGUUAUUGUAGAUAUGUACAUUUUUACUGAAGCUUGUCUAUAUAAAGAUGCUGUACUGUAUCAUUUCUGUUCACAUGUAUAUAAAGAAGUCACCAUUUUUUGUCAUUACAUACAGCAUAUGAACAAUAAGUGUGCAGAGUAUAUUCACUCAAGCUUAGGACAUUAGAGUUAGGCAUCAUUGUCGGCGAACACUAUCACUUUCUAUACAAUACCAACUGUCGUGCCUCACAGCUAACACUUAGAUUAGACUUCUGCUCUUUUGCCAAUACGAAACUUGCUAUUGAGGAAAGAGCCAAUUGAAAGCUACUGCUCUUCAGAAAUGGGUGCCAAUGGGUGCACGGUCUCCGUAGGAACAGCCAAUGGGAGACAUCUAAGUGGAUCCACCAGUGGAGGGGUAGCUGCUCUGAGGGAGAGCCAAUGAGCACGUUUCAUUCCUUGUUGACCUGCCAAUUGGGAAAAGAGCAGCCCUGCAUUAGAGAUGGAGAGUUCAUCAGAAUCCUAAGACUAUGAGCAACAGACUGAGUGAUUCAGACCAUGCCAGCUGCUUCCUCCAGCGGAAGUGUCACUUCCAGGGCGUUUGAGUUGGGGAGAUCCCAGCCGCUCUUUAUCCCACCUCCACCGCUUCCCUCUCACUCUCUUCCUACACUGCAACAUUGUUCUGAGGGGCAUCUGUCUGCACUUGUGUGUGUGUGUGUGUGUGUGUGUGUGUGUGUGUGUGUGUGUGUGUGUGUGUGUGUGUGUGUUCGUUGUAGCAUAAUGCAGGUCAUUUUGCUGGUAAGACACCAGAGUACUGAUGAACUAUCGUUUAUAUUGCUUGUCAGAUACACUGUAUACCAUAAACUGCUGGUUUGUGGAUAUGAUACCACUCAUGUGCUUUUGCUUGCUCUGUAGUAAUAUGUGUAAAGGGUAAUGUGGUACGUUCAUGCUAAUGCUGUAAACAUUUAAGUGCAACUCUUUUUUGUGUGUGUGGUUUUCAUACGAUUUAAUAUUUACUUUGCAUAUCCAUUGCAUAAAUGUUACUCUACUAGUCCCACCCAUUGACAUUAAGGUCUUUACAUAACAGGUGACUUAAUUCCUUAGAGCAGAUGUGUAACUUCAUUCACAUUUGAUACACCUAGGAUACAGUAUAUCAAACAUCUAAUCACAUGUAAACUGAUGUAAAGCAUUCUGUGCUAAUAUGACAAUGCAUGGAUUAUCUUAGUAGGUUUGUUGUCUGUUUUUGGACAAAUUAUUGGAGUUUUUUUUUCUCUCUUGUCCCUUGAAGAGAAAGUUUGUUCUAUGCAUUUCAUCAUUGUAUAUUUAUUUUAAAGUUGUUGUUGUGUUGUUGUUGUUGUUGUUGUUGUUGUUUUCUCAAAUCUCUUAAAUGAUUUAUUGUGUAAGACCUGUCAUGUGUGUCUGCCAUGUCUUAUUAUUCACUGUAAAUAAACAAUUGAAAAAUAA